CCUACGGGUGGCUGCAGUGAGGAAUAUUGGUCAAUGGACGAGAGUCUGAACCAGCCAAGUAGCGUGAAGGAUGACUGCCCUAUGGGUUGUAAACUUCUUUUAUAAAGGAAUAAAACGCGGCACGUGUGCCUUUUUGUAUGUACUUUAUGAAUAAGGAUCGGCUAACUCCGUGCCAGCAGCCGCGGUAAUACGGAGGAUCCGAGCGUUAUCCGGAUUUAUUGGGUUUAAAGGGAGCGUAGAUGGGUUGUUAAGUCAGUUGUGAAAGUUUGCGGCUCAACCGUAAAAUUGCAGUUGAUACUGGGUGUCUUGAGUACAGUAGAGGUAGGCGGAAUUCGUGGUGUAGCGGUGAAAUGCUUAGAUAUCACGAAGAACCCCGAUUGCGAAGGCAGCUUACUAAACUGUAACUGACGUUGAUGCUCGAAAGUGUGGGUAUCAAACAGGAUUAGAUACCCGGGUAGUC
rnacentral:rRNA from 1 species